rnacentral:rRNA from 1 species
UACAGAGGUCCCAAGCGUUGUUCGGAUUCAUUGGGCGUAAAGGGUGCGUAGGUGGCGCCGUAAGUCAGGUGUGAAAUCUCGGGGCUUAACUCCGAAACUGCAUUUGAUACUGCGGUGCUUGAGGACUGGAGAGGAGACUGGAAUUUACGGUGUAGCGGUGAAAUGCGUAGAUAUCGUAAGGAAGACCAGUGGCGAAGGCGGGUCUCUGGACAGUUCCUGACACUGAGACACGAAGGCCAGGGGAGCAAACGGG